rnacentral:SRP_RNA from 1 species
CGCGGGAUGGUUGGACGAGUAGGAUCGCGAAUUCGGUCAGGUUCGGAAGAAAGCAGCCGUAGUGAACACCAAGCGGGUCGACCGUCUCUCUUUU